UACGUAGGGGGCUAGCGUUGUUCGGAAUUACUGGGCGUAAAGCGCACGUAGGCGGAUUGUUAAGUCAGAGGUGAAAUCCCGGAGCUCAACUUCGGAACUGCCUUUGAUACUGGCAAUCUAGAGUCCGGAAGAGGUUAGUGGAAUUCCCAGUGUAGAGGUGAAAUUCGUAGAUAUUGGGAAGAACACCAGUGGCGAAGGCGGCUAACUGGUCCGGUACUGACGCUGAGGUGCGAAGGCGUGGGGAGCGAACGGG
rnacentral:rRNA from 1 species